rnacentral:rRNA from 1 species
AAAGGCACUUGCUCAACGAGUUGUUUGUGAUAGAUAUCGUUUGUCUAGAAUUAGUUAGGAGAUACUGGAAUUCAAUGUGUAGCGGUGGAAUGCGUAGAUAUAUUGAGGAACACCAGAGGCUAAGGCGAGUAUCUAGGACAUAAUUGACGCUGAGGCUUGAAAGCGUGGGGAGCAAAUGGGAUUAGAUACCCCAGUAGUCCACGCCGUAAACGAUGGGUAUUAGGUAUUUGGUUUAGGACUGAGUGCUGUAGCUAACGCGUUAAAUACCCCGCCUGGGUAGUAUAUAUGCAAAUAUGAAACUCAAAGAAAUUGACGGGGACCUGAACAAGUGGUGGAGCAUGUUGCUUAAUUCGAUAAUACACGAAAAACCUUACCGAGGCUUGUAAUCUUUUGCGAAGCUAUAGAAAUAUAGUG